UACGGAAGGCAGCAGUGGGGAAUAUUGCACAAUGGGCGAAAGCCUGAUGCAGCUAUGCCGCGUGUAUGAAGAAGGCCUUAGGGUUGUAAAGUACUUUCAUCGGGGAGGAAAAACAAAACUAAUAAUUUUAUUUCUUGACGUUACCCGAAAAAGAAGCACCGGCUAACUCCGUGCCAGCAGCCGCGGUAAUACGGAGGGUGCUAGCGUUAAUCAGAAUUACUGGGCGUAAAGAGCACGUAGGUGGUUUUUUAAGUCAGAUGUGAAAUCCUGGGCUUAACCUAGGAACUGCAUUUUGAAACUGAAAUACUAGAGUAUCGUAGAGGGAGGUAGAAUUCUAGGUGUAGCGGUGAAAUGCGUAGAUAUCUGGAGGAAUACCUGUGGCGAAAGCGGCCUCCUAAACGAAUACUGACACUGAGGUGCGAAAGCGUGGGGAGCAAACAGGGAUUAGAUACC
rnacentral:rRNA from 1 species